CUUGCCUUUUAAUUGAUGGCCAGUAUGAACGGACAAACGAAAUAUAACUGUCUCCGUGCGGCGCAUAAAAAUUUAUCUUCAGGUGAAAAAGCCUGAAUAACCCUAAAAGACAACAAGACCCUGCAGAACCUAACUUAAAUCUGUGCCCCUCCCGCGCCUUUAAAGUUUAGAUGGGGCAUCUAAGGGCCACCAAAACUGCCCUCUUCCCAAAACCACAACACUGACCCAUAACCUAUGAUCAACGACACAGGCUACCUCAGGGAUAACAGACUAAUCUUCCUUAAGAGCCCAAAUCGACAGGAAGGCUUGGCACCUCGAUGUUGGCUUAGGAGCCCCUGGGAGUGCAGCCGCCCCCAAGGUAGGUUUGUUCAACCUUUAAAAUCCUACG
rnacentral:rRNA from 1 species